rnacentral:rRNA from 1 species
GAUGAACGCUGGCGGCGUGCCUAAUACAUGCAAGUCGAGCGAACAGAUAAGGAGCUUGCUCCUUUGACGUUAGCGGCGGACGGGUGAGUAACACGUGGGUAACCUACCUAUAAGACUGGAAUAACUCCGGGAAACCGGGGCUAAUGCCGGAUAACAUUUAGAACCGCAUGGUUCUAAAGUGAAAGAUGGUUUUGCUAUCACUUAUAGAUGGACCCGCGCCGUAUUAGCUAGUUGGUAAGGUAUCGGCUUACCAAGGCAACGAUACGUAGCCGACCUGAGAGGGUGAUCGGCCACACUGGAACUGAGACACGGUCCAGACUCCUACGGGAGGCAGCAGUAGGGAAUCUUCCGCAAUGGGCGAAAGCCUGACGGAGCAACGCCGCGUGAGUGAUGAAGGUCUUCGGAUCGUAAAACUCUGUUAUUAGGGAAGAACAAAUGUGUAAGUAACUGUGCACGUCUUGACGGUACCUAAUCAGAAAGCCACGGCUAACUACGUG